rnacentral:rRNA from 1 species
UACGUAGGGUGCGAGCGUUAAUCGGAAUUACUGGGCGUAAAGCGUGCGCAGGCGGUUCUCCAAGUCCGUUUUGAAAGCCCCGGGCUCAACCUGGGAAUGGCAGUGGAAACUAGGGGACUGGAAUCUGGCAGAGGGGGGUGGAAUGCCGCGUGUAGCAGUGAAAUGCGUAGAGAUGCGGCGGAACACCGAUGGCGAAGGCAGCCCCCUGGGCUGAGAUUGACGCUCAGGCACGAAAGCGUGGGGAGCAAACAGG